ACAUUUCCUGUUCUUGUUGAACCAUUUAUUUGUUAUUAUAUUCCUUUUGUGUUCUCAAAGUUUUCUUUUUUACGUUUGGUCACCCUAUCAGCUGACAUGUGUACAAGCUGUUUUUGUGGAAGAAAGUAAACAUUCCGGCGAACGAACUUAAAUUCUUACAAUUCUUGUUAUUAUUGCAAACAAAAUGGAUAUUAAUGAAAUAUUAAUAGAAGAAAACAAGAAUGUUUGUACGACUUAUCGAGCAAUGAAUACAAAAACGUGUUUAAAAAGGCAGUGAUUUGGGAAGAAAUCGGCAAAUCUGUUUGAUUACCGGGCAAAUCAUGUAAAAACGGUGGAGAGGACUUCGCGACACCUACAAAAGGCGAAAGCGCACUUCGCAACUUAGCUCCGGCUGCGGCGCACCGAGUCCAACAAAAAAGUGGAAAUAUUUGCAGACGUUGAAUAUACAGCUUUACCAUUAUGAACAUGAUGUUCAUAAUUUUAAAAAUUUGCACAAGUCGAAAAGUUCUUUGAUCCAUCUUCAAAAAUCUGCAAAUCUGUUUCGAAAAGUUCUUUGAUACAUCUUCAAAAAUGUAUAUCUCUUUAGCACAAUUAUAUUCUCACUUUAUAAAGGAAAAUUAAAAGUUUGAUUGUGCCUAGGGAUGUCGGAGAAACAUCGAUGCAUCGAAAAUCUUACACUCGAUGUAUAAAUAGUCGAUGUAUGGAUUUUUUGAAAUUUCUAGUACAUUAAACC